CAGAACUCCAAUAUCACAAAUAUUUUGUAUUCAUUACAUUUACAAUUUCUCAUUAUCCAUGCUUUAUCUAAAAAAAACAAAACAAACAAACCAAAAAAAACCCCAAAACUACUGAGUGUAGGUCACAUGACCUUGGAUACAGUAUAAAAGUGCUGUUGCCUUAACAGUGAUCCCACAUCCUCAGAUGAUACCGUCAUCAUCUCCAUCUCUUGACACAUUCACUGCUGAGGUCUGAACAGCCAUGCUCUCCUUUUGAACUCCCACCACUCUACCUGAGCCUUCUCCUCCUCUUUCUGUUGUGCCACUCCCCUGUUCUCUCCUGUCAGACUGGGACCCGGAGCCAGUGUAUGUCUGCCCCCUUUGUGCCUGGCUACAACCUGGCAGGGGAGGGCUUUGAUGUUCUUACACUUAAGCGAAAAGGAGCUUAUGUGAUUGAUGUGAAGACCUACCUCAAUUCGAGUGACACCUGUAAACUGCCUCAAUCCUCAUCAAGGCUACAAACUGCAGAAACUACCAGUCUCUGCUUUGGACUGGCGUGCGUUCAGCUGCUGCAGUUUUCAUCUCGAGGACAGUGAAC
rnacentral:lncRNA from 1 species